GGGUCAGGAGGUUGGUCGUGCCACCGGUACGUACUGGUCUCACUGAUUCCUCCUUCCUGAAGAACCGUAAUGCCAUUAAUUUGGUGUUGCGGGGAAACAGGACUGUUACUUUGAAAAAAUUAGAGUGUUUAAAGCAAGCUAACGCUUGAAUACAUUAGCAUGGAAUAAUGAAUUAGGACGAUCGAUCCUAUUUUGUUGGUUUCUAGGAUUGACGUA
rnacentral:rRNA from 1 species